AUUGAACGCUGGCGGCAGGCCUAACACAUGCAAGUCGAGCGUAGCGACGGACGGGUGAGUAAUGCCUAGGAAUCUGCCUGGUAGUGGGGGAUAAAGUCCGGAAACGGGCGCUAAUUCCGCAUACUAUCACAUGAGCCUAGGUCGGAUUAGAUAGUUGCGGGGGUACAGGCCGACAAAGGCGACGAUCCGUAACUGGUCUGAGAGGAUGAUCAGUCACACUGGAACUGAGACACGGGCCAGACUCCUACGGGAGGCAGCAGUGGGGAAUAUUGGACAAUGGGCCAAAGCCUGAUCCAGCCAUGCCGCGUGUGUGAAGAAGGUCUUCGGAUUGUAAAGCACUUUAAGUUGGGAGGCGUUACCAACAGAAUAAGCACCGGCUAACGUCGUGCCAGCAGCCGCGGUAAUAC
rnacentral:rRNA from 1 species